CCGGCAUCAGAUUUCUCGCUGUGAGAGAGAGAGAUAGCGCUCGCUUUAUUGAGAGAGACGGAGAGAGAGAGAGAGAGAGAGAGGGCGAGGGAGAAACAACACUGGACGACUGAAGACUUGCUGCUGCCACAAAUACAUAACGACAGAAACAGCUAAAGAAAAACAGCUAAAGACAUCUGUACAAGUUACAGAUCGAGCCAUGGACGGGAUGGUAGCAUUUGGACGCACGUGUCUCUUGUGCGCCUUGCUGCUCUGCUUUUCAAUGCAAGUGUGCUGGGCCGUCGUGACAGUGACAGUGACUCCCAAGGUGGAGGUGAUCAAGGGAGAGUCAGCCAGUCUGCCCUGCACCUUCAAAAUCCCUCCCUCCCCGAACAACAUUGUAGAGUGGGUUCAUUGAGGAGGGUGGCACCAGGAAGCGUGUUGCGUUCCGCUCCGUGUCGGGCGGCGAGGGGAAGACUGAUGAGGGGACACGUCUGUCCGACAGAGUGACCAUGGGAAYGGACUURUCUCUGACCAUCUCCCCCGUGGCGGUGGAGGACCAGCUGCCCUUCUACUGCCAGGUCACUGCUGGCCCUGCUGGAGUCGGAGAGGCCAUCACACAGCUCAAAGUCUUCUGUGAGUUACUGACCACUGAC